UCCUUUUAAAUAAUACCAGUAUAAGGAAUAUAAUAUUACAAUAGCGUAGGUAAUCAAGAUAAGAGUAUAUAAACUACAAAUAUCAUAAUAACAUAGGUAGUAAGGAGUGGCGAUAAAAAGCGUAAGUAGUAAAUACCCAUACAAUAUUUU